CCUACGGGGGGCAGCAGUGGGGAAUAUUGGGCAAUGGAGGCAACUCUGACCCAGCAACGCCGCGUGAAUGAUGAAGGUCUUCGGAUUGUAAAGUUCUGUGAUGGGGGAUGAACACAAUGACGGUACUCCAAUAGCAAGCCACGGCUAACUACGAGCCAGCAGCCGCGGGAAUACGGAGGGGGCAAGCGUUAUCCGGAAUGACUGGGCGUAAAGGGUGCGUAGGUGGUUUAGUAAGUUGGCGGUGUAAUUCCGGGGCUCAACCUCGGCGCUACCGCCAAAACUAUUAGACUAGAGUGCAGGAGGGGUAAGUGGAAUGCCUGGUGUAGCGGUGAAAUGCGUAGAUAUUAGGAGGAACAUCAGGGGCGAAGGCGGCUUACUGGACUGUAACUGACGCUGAGGCACGAAAGCGUGGGGAGCAAACAGGAUUAGAUAUCCUUGUAGUC
rnacentral:rRNA from 1 species